rnacentral:misc_RNA from 1 species
AAGGAUCAUUAAUGAGUUAGGGUCUCCUAGGCCCGACCUCCCAACCCUUUGCUUACUAGACCUCAGUUGCUUUGGCAGGCCCGUCUUAAUCUGACCGCUGGAGGACCGCCUAAUGCGGGUGUUACCUCUGGCCAGUGUCUGCCGAUAGCCUAAUCUCCUAACUCUGGAUCAAUCAUGAUUUACAAUGUCUAAGUGAUUUUAUUCAAUUAAAAGCAAAA